UGGGGACUCAACUCAGUGGUAGAGGACAUGCUCAGCAUGUAUGAGGUCCUGGGUUCAAUUCUUAGCUCCCUCA
rnacentral:tRNA from 1 species